rnacentral:rRNA from 1 species
GCUUAGAAGCAGCCAUCAUUUAAAGAAAGCGUAAUAGCUCACUGGUCGAGUCGGCCUGCGCGGAAGAUGUAACGGGGCUAAACCAUGCACCGAAGCUGCGGCAGCGACGCUUAUGCGUUGUUGGGUAGGGGAGCGUUCUGUAAGCCUGCGAAGGUGUGCUGUGAGGCAUGCUGGAGGUAUCAGAAGUGCGAAUGCUGACAUAAGUAACGAUAAAGCGGGUGAAAAGCCCGCUCGCCGGAAGACCAAGGGUUCCUGUCCAACGUUAAUCGGGGCAGGGUGAGUCGACCCCUAAGGCGAGGCCGAAAGGCGUAGUCGAUGGGAAACAGGUUAAUAUUCCUGUACUUGGUGUUACUGCGAAGGGGGGACGGAGAAGGCUAUGUUGGCCGGGCGACGGUUGUCCCGGUUUAAGCGUGUAGGCUGGUUUUCCAGGCAAAUCCGGAAAAUCAAGGCUGAGGCGUGAUGACGAGGCACUACGGUGCUGAAGCAACAAAUGCCCUGCUUCCAGGAAAAGCCUCUAAGCAUCAGGUAACAUCAAAUCGUACCCCAAACCGACACAGGUGGUCAGGUAGAGAAUACCAAGGCGCUUGAGAGAACUCGGGUGAAGGAACUAGGCAAAAUGGUGCCGUAACUUCGGGAGAAGGCACGCUGAUAUGUAGGUGAAGUCCCUCGCGGAUGGAGCUGAAAUCAGUCGAAGAUACCAGCUGGCUGCAACUGUUUAUUAAAAACACAGCACUGUGCAAACACGAAAGUGGACGUAUACGGUGUGACGCCUGCCCGGUGCCGGAAGGUUAAUUGAUGGGGUCAGCGCAAGCGAAGCUCUUGAUCGAAGCCCCGGUAAACGGCGGCCGUAACUAUAACGGUCCUAAGGUAGCGAAAUUCCUUGUCGGGUAAGUUCCGACCUGCACGAAUGGCGUAAUGAUGGCCAGGCUGUCUCCACCCGAGACUCAGUGAAAUUGAACUCGCUGUGAAGAUGCAGUGUACCCGCGGCAAGACGGAAAGACCCCGUGAACCUUUACUAUAGCUUGACACUGAACAUUGAGCCUUGAUGUGUAGGAUAGGUGGGAGGCUUUGAAGUGUGGACGCCAGUCUGCAUGGAGCCGACCUUGAAAUACCACCCUUUAAUGUUUGAUGUUCUAACGUUGACCCGUAAUCCGGGUUGCGGACAGUGUCUGGUGGGUAGUUUGACUGGGGCGGUCUCCUCCUAAAGAGUAACGGAGGAGCACGAAGGUUGGCUAAUCCUGGUCGGACAUCAGGAGGUUAGUGCAAUGGCAUAAGCCAGCUUGACUGCGAGCGUGACGGCGCGAGCAGGUGCGAAAGCAGGUCAUAGUGAUCCGGUGGUUCUGAAUGGAAGGGCCAUCGCUCAACGGAUAAAAGGUACUCCGGGGAUAACAGGCUGAUACCGCCCAAGAGUUCAUAUCGACGGCGGUGUUUGGCACCUCGAUGUCGGCUCAUCACAUCCUGGGGCUGAAGUAGGUCCCAAGGGUAUGGCUGUUCGCCAUUUAAAGUGGUACGCGAGCUGGGUUUAGAACGUCGUGAGACAGUUCGGUCCCUAUCUGCCGUGGGCGCUGGAGAACUGAGGGGGGCUGCUCCUAGUACGAGAGGACCGGAGUGGACGCAUCACUGGUGUUCGGGUUGUCAUGCCAAUGGCACUGCCCGGUAGCUAAAUGCGGAAGAGAUAAGUGCUGAAAGCAUCUAAGCACGAAACUUGCCCCGAGAUGAGUUCUCCCUGACUCCUUGAGAGUCCUGAAGGAACGUUGAAGACGACGACGUUGAUAGGCCGGGUGUGUAAGCGCAGCGAUGCGUUGAGCUAACCGGUACUAAUGAACCGUGAGGCUUAACCUUACAACGCCGAAGC